AGCAAAGAUGGUGGCAAAACGAGAAGCGAAAGCGAGCACUGUGCCUCCACUGUCUUCGCCUCUAACUUGCCCUACUCUUUCAUCAACUCUCAGCUGGAGGAGACAUUCAACGACGUCGGACCAAUUAGGCGGUUCAAAAUACAAAGGGAACUCAAGCAAAUUUCGUCCUGGCUAUCAAACAGGCCACAAUAGACCUUGAAUCCAAACCAGACCUCAAAAGAACCUCACACAUUUUUCUAAGAAGUGACUGCAGUCAAGCCUGAUUUCCACCUUAGCUUGUUGAAAUUUUUGAGAUCAAAGUUCAUCUUGAAUUUGGCUGUGAUUGUUGACUAUAAUGGCUGAUGGAUUGAACUACUUUCAUUACACGUGUC